rnacentral:rRNA from 1 species
AUUGAACGCUGGCGGCAGGCCUAACACAUGCAAGUCGAGCGAGCGGCGGACGGGUGAGUAAUGUCUGGGAAACUGCCUGAUGGAGGGGGAUAACUACUGGAAACGGUAGCUAAUACCGCAUACCAUCAGAUGUGCCCAGAUGGGAUGAGCUAGUAGGUGGGGUAACGGCUCACCUAGGCGACGAUCCCUAGCUGGUCUGAGAGGAUGACCAGACACACGGGAAGUGCGACACGGUCCAGAUACCUACGGGAGGCAGCAGUGGGGAAUAUUGCACAAUGGGCGCAAGCCGGAUGCAGCAAUGCCACGUGUGUGAAGAAGGCCUUCGGGUUGUAAAGCACUUUCAGCGGGGAGGCGUUACACGCAGAAGAAGCACCGGCUAACUCCGUGCCAGCAGCCGCGGUAAUUC